AUCUGACUCUCAUGUUAAACAGACAUGGUCACAAUCUGGUGUGGAGAAGGUGUUGUGCCAAGACUAAGAGAGGAGGAGGCGCUCUGAAUCUGUUUGUUUUGACAUUUUGAGCAGAAGUAAUUCGAACAGGCACACAGGGCAGUGAAUGGACAAACCCUCGGGCAUCUUGCAACCUGAUGCUUGGUUUUCUUUGUAAGCUAGUAGUCCUACAGCUUCUACGUCAACUGAAAAGCAAGCAUCUUGCAUGAAGUGCUUCCCGUACAAUGAGUACAGCGCAAACAAAAGAUCUCGCCGUGUCUCUGUAUCCACAUCAGGGCUCGGGAUGUGUGCUGCUGAAGAAGUCUCUCUGGAAGUACACACAUCUCACGGAUGAGCGCUGUCAGAACGGUUGCUGCCUGGACAAACAGCGACUCCUGCUGGUCAGCCUGGUACUGCUGGCAUUGUCUGCCAUGGUACUGCUUCUACUGUGGAACUACCAGUGUUUCAUUGUUAACCACAUGUGCCAGGACCCGGAGCGCAAUUCAGAGUAUGUGCUUUUUGAUAUGGAUGAGCAGAGGCUUUCUUCAUAUGGACGAGCCUGAAGCUGCGAGGCUGAAUAAAGCUGCCUGUGACAGCUGCUUGUAGACACACUCUUCAAAAGGGCAUGAGGGAGAGAGAGGGGAAAUUUAUAUAUAAGAAAACUUCUGUCAUGCACAAUGAUUCAGAAGUGUACUUCUGAACUAUUACUUUCAUCAUUAACUUAACUGAAAGAGGAAAAAAUACUGUCUAAUGUAUAUCGAUGUACAUCUAAGCAGCCUUCUUGUAGCUUACAGUAAAUUUAAAUCUGCCAUGCCUAUUGAGAAGAUAAAUAGUUGUUCUGUUCAAUAUGUAAUAUUGCACCUAUGAUUUUAAUUUGUGUUCAUUUUGUAUAAUGCAGGCCCUGUUUAAAUAAAUAUGAAACAAAUCUUCUUGGAACACAAGCACAGUCAUUUUCUGUGAUGAAUGACUCUGCAUCUGCUCGUAUAACUUCCAAUAUAUAUAGGCUACAUCCCCUGCAGCUCAGCUUUUGCAAUUUGUUUAACAUCCUGUUGACAUUCAUACUGCAUGCAACAUUUAGAGAUAAACCUCGUCUAAAAAACCUCAAGAUCAUCUUUGUGUGACAACCCAACAUGUCGUGAUGUGCACAGCCAUUUUGAUCUGUUGAAAAACUCUUCACACAUUUGCUUUUCGAAUCAGCUUUUAACCACAAAGUCAAAAAUGUUACCACCUCAACUUGAACCUCACAAUGCAUAACUUCCUACUACUGCAAAUGACUCUCAGACAUUGUGUCUCGAACACCUCGUGGGACUAUUAGUCACACAGGAAUGUUUUCACAGUUAUAGACCUAUCUCAGCAAUAGAUUUUGAUU